CAGAGGGGGCGAGCGUUAUUCGGAAUUAUUGGGCGUAAAGGGCGCGUAGGCGGCUUUUCAAGUGACGGGUGAAAUCCCUCGGCUUAACCGAGGAACUGCCUGUCAGACUGGAAGGCUUGAGACCGGGAGAGGUGAGUGGAAUUCCCAGUGUAGCGGUGAAAUGCGUAGAUAUUGGGAGGAACACCAGUGGCGAAGGCGGCUCACUGGACCGGAACUGACGCUGAGGCGCGAAAGCGUGGGGAGCAAACAGGAUUAGAUACCCUGGUAGUCCACGCCGUAAACGAUGAGUGCUUGGUGUAGCGGGUAUCGACCCCUGCUGUGCCGAAGUCAACACAUUAAGCACUCCGCCUGGGGAGUACGGUCGCAAGACUG
rnacentral:rRNA from 1 species